CCUCCCUCCGUAACCGACACGAGGCGCGUAGCCGUGUAGAUAAAAAAUAGAGAUACGAAGAGGGGGGAAACCGCAAUCUUCUCGUCUUCCCCUGUUUCCCCAUCCAUCCCGGUCGCCGAGCCUCCCACCGGCGGCGCGGAGGAGUAAUCGAACCGCCGGUCCUAGCAGGCAGCCAUGGGCGGGCACGGCGGGCUGAACAUCCUGCCGCAGAAGCGGUGGAACGUCUACAACUUCGACAACCGCGAGAAGGUCCGCAACGACGAGGCCGCCGCCGCCCGCGAGGAGCAGCUCCAGCGCGAGGCGGAACGCCGCCGCGAGUCCGACCUCCGCCUCGCCGCACUCCGCCGCAACCGCGGCCUCCUCCAGGCGGACCCGGACUCGCCCUCUGCUCCCCCUCCCCCGGCCGACGCCGCGGGCCCCGCGGCGGAUCCGGCGAGUGACGCCCCGUCCGCCUCCGACGCCGACGGCGACCACAUCAACCUGUUCGCCGGCCGCGCCGACUUCACCGCCCUUGCCUCGCUUAGCGGCGGGAGGGGCGCCGCGCGGGAGCGGGAGCCUGAUGCGAACGCUAAGCCAAACCCUAAGAAGCGCAAGAAGGAGGAGGAGGUCAGGGCGGUGGGGCCCGACGAGGAGAAGUAUAGGCUGGGUUACGGCCUCGCCGGCAAGGGCGUGGCGGUUCCCUGGUACAUGUCGAGUCCGGCGGCUUCAGCGGCCAAGGAGGGGAGUGCCAGAGAUGCAGGGGAAGGGAGCGGGGGGAAGAGGAGUGGAGGGAAGAAGAGCAUCGAGGAGCUGAGGGAGGAGAGGAGGAAGAGGGAGGCCAAGGAGAAGGAGCGCGAGCGUGCCGUGCUGGCUGCUGCGGGGAGGAAGGAGAGGCAGGCAGAUCGGGGGCGCCAGUCAAGAUGGGCUCGGUGAUGUGAGGAUUUUCAUGGUAUAAUGUGCAGGAUUGCAGAGAAUUUUUGUUGAAGGAUAACUCAUGGAACUGGAUAUGACCUGACUAUGUUAUCAAGCAGAUGCAGAUGAUUGCAUGUGGCAGCAAUAAUUACACUGUUCAUUUGCCAAGGAAAGGAUACUCGUGAGCAAUUCAUGAGCAUCUUGAUCAGUAACAGCAAGAUUUCAUUAUUUGUUACAAAUCAUCAAAUCAAUUUAUGUCGGAUUUUCUUUUGUAAAAUACUCAUGGUAAAUGCAGUGAAGCUAGCAGCUCAUGUAACACUGGCAAUGUUUGCUUGUAAAGCUAUUUUCAUUUUCCUGAUGUAAAGAGUUUGUUUGCGGGUUUUUUUUUUGAAAUUUCAUCAAUGUCAGAUAACUUCAACUUGUUGAGUACUAUCAAGAGCAUCCUAAAACAUAUCUGCAAGUUAUGUUGCAUCCUACUGCCAGGAGUGUUGUUUUGUGCACAGUUAGCCACUUCAUGAUGCAUCAGGCAGGCAUCAAGGUUUAGACUGAAGAGCACAAUGGAUAACAUGUGGUAGUUAACUGAGGAGUCUAAGCACCUAAGUCAUGUUCUGAUUGAGCAGUGAGUGUAUGAAGAUGGAUUUGUCAAAUGUGUACUACUUCAUGAUGCAUCAGGCAGGCAUCAAGGUUUAGACUGAAGAGCACAAUGGAUAACAUGUAGUAGUUAACUGAGGAGUCUAAGCACCUAAGUCAUGUUCUGCUUGAGCAGUGAGUGUAUGAAGAUGGAUUUGUCAAAUGUGUACUUCAUCUUUGCUUUGGUCCUGUAUCCUUGUGCAAACAUUACUACCUCUGCCCUGCAAUACAAGGGAAUCUAGCUAGUUAUAUUUCAGGACAGAUGUAGCAUUAUACGUCUGAUUUAACUUCAGCUCUGCUUAUUAA